UACGGAGGGUGCAAGCGUUAUCCGGAUUCACUGGGCUUAAAGGGUGCGUAGGCGGGUAUGGAAGUCAGCGGUGAAAUCCCCGAGCUUAACUUGGGAACUGCCGUUGAUACUAUAUAUCUUGAAUGUCGUGGAGGUUAGCGGAAUAUGUCAUGUAGCGGUGAAAUGCUUAGAUAUGACAUAGAACACCCAUUGCGAAGGCAGCUAACUACGCGAAUAUUGACGCUGAGGCACGAAAGCGUGGGGAGCAAACAGG
rnacentral:rRNA from 1 species